rnacentral:rRNA from 1 species
UGCAUGUCGAACGAAGAGCGAUGGAAGCUUGCUUCUAUCAAUCUUAGUGGCGAACGGGUGAGUAACGCGUAAUCAACCUGCCCUUCAAAGGGGGACAACAGUUGGAAACGACUGCUAAUACCGCAUACGAUCUAACCUCGGCAUCGAGGAUAGAUGAAAGGUGGCCUCUAUUUAUAAGCUAACACUGAAGGAGGGGAUUGCGUCUGAUUAGCUAGUUGGAGGGGUAACGGCCCACCAAGGCGAUGAUCAGUAGCCGGUCUGAGAGGAUGAACGGCCACAUUGGGACUGAGACACGGCCCAAACUCCUACGGGAGGCAGCAGUGGGGAAUCUUCCGCAAUGGACGAAAGUCUGACGGAGCAACGCCGCGUGAGUGAUGACGGCCUUCGGGUUGUAAAGCUCUGUUAAUCGGGACGAAAGGCCUUCUUGCGAAUAGUUAGAAGGAUUGACGGUACCGGAAUAGAAAGCCACGGCUAACUACGUGCCAGCAGCCGCGGUAAUACGUAGGUGGCAAGCGUUGUCCGGAAUUAUUGGGCGUAAAGCGCGCGCAGGCGGAUUGGUCAGUCUGUCUUAAAAGUUCGGGGCUUAACCCCGUGAUGGGAUGGAAACUGCCAAUCUAGAGUAUCGGAGAGGAAAGUGGAAUUCCUAGUGUAGCGGUGAAAUGCGUAGAUAUUAGGAAGAACACCAGUGGCGAAGGCGACUUUCUGGACGAAAGCUGACGCUGAGGCGCGAAAGCCAGGGGAGCGAACGGGAUUAGAUACCCCGGUAGUCCUGGCCGUAAACGAUGGGUACUAGGUGUAGGAGGUAUCGACCCCUUCUGUGCCGGAGUUAACGCAAUAAGUACCCCGCCUGGGGAGUACGACCGCAAGGUUGAAACUCAAAGGAAUUGACGGGGG